UAUUCUCUAAUUUCAUCAAAAUGCCUAAACUACCCUUUACCCUUUUUCUAAACCCUAACCUUCUCCUAACACACAUACACACACUCUGCUAAGAAUGAAAGAAAGAAAAAUAGCGAGGGAAAACAGAGAGAGAGAAGAAAGGAAGAAGAAGGGGAGAAGGAGGUGACACCGGUGAGGCUGGAUGUCGCCGUCGUUGCCGCGGAUCAGGUAGGGAGAGGGAGCAGGAGAUCGAAACAGGGAAUGGGGGAAGGAGAAAGGAAGAGGCGCGAGAGAGGAGGUGCUGUCCUGCCGUCCUCGCCAUCGCCCUUGGAGACCGUCCCUGACGCUGGAAGGGGAGCUUCGUUGUUACCAUCGCGGUUGCAGUUAUGGGGCUUCGAAGAGAGAGAGAGGAGCUUGCAGAGGAGAGGGAAACACAAUGGCUAGGAAGAGGAGAGUCUCGCAAGGAGGGGGAGCUGGUACGCCUCCGCCGUUGUCGCAAGUUGCGCCACCGCGCCUCUGGUCACCGGGAAUCGCGUUGACGUCGUCGGAAGCUGCUGUUGGAAAUUCUGCAAGUUUGCCCUAGCUCGGCUUUGCUUCUACCUGUUCUGUUCUUGCCGGUGGGGGGUCACCGGAGCUGCUGAUGCUCCAUCCUCUUAUUUCUUUUGGACUGUUGUUGAGGUUGCUGUAGUGAGAAAUCGAAGUUGUUGCUACUACCUUGGUCCAAAUUUCGUGCUCUUUCAUUCCAUUCUACUUCAACCUUCCUCACCUUUUAUCUUGGCACUGUGGUUUGGUUUCUUCGGUCCCUUGGGACUAAUUUGUGAGUAGGCUUUACAUUUAUAAUUGUUUGAUUGGACAUCUAUAAUUAUUUUAACAUAUAUCUAUUAUGAUCUUUGAAUUAUACUCACGAUAUUUGCCUUGAAGGAUUUUAAAUUGAUUAGAAUAAUGGAUUUAUUAGAAUUUAAUAAUUCGUUUUUAUGAAGUUUAUACUUUCGGAACUAUACAUGAGAUCAUAUAUAUUUUUUAUGAAAUUUUGCAUUAUUCCAAAAUGUUUGAUUUUACUUGAAUAUAUGUUUUUGAAGCAUUGAAAUGUUUAUUGGUAUUCACUUACUUUAAGGAUUGUGAAACAUGUUUGAAAUUUCUUAUGAUUGAAAAGGUAUGAUUGAAAAUAUUAUCUGAUUUGAUUGAUUUGAUUCGAUACUUUAUAUAUUUGAAAGAUUAGAGAUUUAUUGUAUUUGAAACUAUAUGUUUUGAAUUGGUUUGGGAGGCUCGUAUUAGAAAACCGUAGUUAACGGCGGUUAUAACGUUAACCUAGAUGCAUCUGGCUCAGACCUCAGCUAGCAGGGGCGUUGCUAGCCUAACGUGUAGGCCACACGUUGGAUCUGUUAUUCCGUACGGACACACUAGAGGAAAGGGCUACCCCUAGAGGUGGAGCCGCCAAUGUGUGGGCUUUUGAUUUGCUUUCUGUAUGAGGACUUCCUUAUUGAUUCACUUAUUUAUAUAAAUUAUUAUCUUCUAACUAAAAUCAUGUUUAUAUGGUCUCAUGUGAAUUAUAGAUGUACUGUCUAGUCACUGGGUUACAAAACUCACUCCGUUUUUAUAAAAAUAUUUUUCAGGAAUAAAUAUUUGAUUAUGUGAGCCUUUCUAUUCAAGAGUAAUGAUCUGCAAUGGGUAUCUAUUCGUUAUUGAGUUCUUAGACGUUAUCUGCUCCAUAUGUCACAGGCAAGAUCCACCCAUAUUUAUUUUAUUUUUGUUUGUUAAAAAUAUGUAAUUAUUCAUUUUAGACAUUAUAAAUUUAUUUAAAAUGUUUGUAAUUUUCUUAUUCAACGUACAUUUGAGUCGGUUAGGCUUGCUUGGGGAUUAUUUUCCUGAGCGCCACUCAUGGUUCAUUUUGGACCGUGACAAAGUGGUAUCAGAGCUUAGGUUUAAUCUGUGUAAUAUGGAGCAAGUGUCCUAUGGUAGGAUCACAAUUGUAUAAAUAGAAGCGUGCCUAUUUGUACAAAUUAUGGCACUAUCAGAGGCCUAUAGAAAUGUCAUCCUUGUCUUUUUGUCAUUCUUGUCUUCUGAUUCUUGUCAUCAUGAGUCAUCUGUCGAUUCUUGACACCUCUUUCCUCUUCUUUGUACGCAACCUUGAGUUAUUAUUUGGUAGCUUUUCUUGAACUUACUUUUGCAAUGAC